GACGAACGCUGGCGGCGUGCUUAACACAUGCCAGUCGAACGAAGGGCGAUGGAAGCUUGCUUCUAUCAAUCUUAGUGGCGAACGGGUGAGUAACGCGUAAUCAACCUGCCCUUCAGAGGGGGACAACAGUUGGAAACGACUGCUAAUACCGCAUACGAUCUAAUCUCGGCAUCGAGGAUAGAUGAAAGGUGGCCUCUACAUGUAAGCUAUCACUGAAGGAGGGGAUUGCGUCUGAUUAGCUAGUUGGAGGGGUAACGGCCCACCAAGGCGAUGAUCAGUAGCCGGUCUGAGAGGAUGAACGGCCACAUUGGGACUGAGACACGGCCCAGACUCCUACGGGAGGCAGCAGUGGGGAAUCUUCCGCAAUGGACGAAAGUCUGACGGAGCAACGCCGCGUGAGCGAUGACGGCCUUCGGGUUGUAAAGCUCUGUUAAUCGGGACGAAAGGCCUUCUUGCGAAUAGUGAGAAGGAUUGACGGUACCGGAAUAGAAAGCCACGGCUAACUACGUG
rnacentral:rRNA from 1 species